UGGAGUUCUGCUGUGCCAUGUGGGGAGCUGGCGACCCUCAACAGCACCAGCAACUGAAGGGUGGGGGUUGGACAUAGAAAUGAAAAAUCCCUUAGCUUAGAGAGGAAAACUGCCCAAAAAAGGGGAUGUCUUCUUGGAAGGUGAUGUCAUCCUUCCUGUGCCUGUGCUCGGUGGUGAAUGAGCGUUUUCCUUCAUUUCUGAGCAAAUUGCCUAUUAAAUGCUUGUUUUAAGUAUCUCCCCCUGAAAAUCGACGUGGAUUUGGUGUGUUUGGGAGGGCUCCGCUCCCCUCCCAGUUUCAAUCACCUUUAUGCAAAACAGAGCGGGCAAACCCUCCGUGUUCAUUCUGGUAACAGCACACAGGAGAGUUCUCCCCACGCGGGGAAAUGCAAAACGAGGCCCUGGGUUCAUUUUCCUGCUGUCUCCUCCUCCGUGCUUACCGUUCUCCCCCCCUGAACUCGCAGCGUGGGUGAGGAUGUGGCUUUUCCCUGCGGCUGCAGAGGAGCCCCGGGAGGGCCGGAAACAGGGACUCGUUGUGGUUUCCCAACCGGUUGUUAAUGGGGGGCUCUGUGUGGAAAGAUUGAGUCUGCACCCGACGGGAAUCACGCUGAGGUUCAGGAGUUUUAGAACAGCGCAGUUCCACUGGAUUGUUUUCAAGGAGUUUUUAAGGAGCGCUCCGGAUUUUAGCAACGCAAAGGCAGAGAGCUGCAGCCGCCUCCGAAACAUUCAGAGUAUCCUGACACAGAGCAGCAAAUCCCAGCCUGAUGGAAUCCUCUGCAUUUUAGGGAUAGACAGUCGAUACAAUGAAGGCUGCAGGGAGCUGGCAAACUACCUGCUCUUUGGCUUGUACAACCAGCACAACAACGACUUUGAGAGGACAGGCUUUCCUGAGGAGGUGCUUGAUGAUAUAAUCCUGUUAAUCAAACCUGACAGUGUUCACCUGUACUGCAACCCCGUGAAUUAUAACCAGCUCCUGCCCUACGUGGCUCACUGGAGGAACCUGCAUUUUCACUGUCUCACUGAAAAUGAGUAUGAAGAUGAAGAAGCUGCAGAAGAAUUCAAGAUCUCCAGCUUCGUGGACAUGGUCCGGGACUGCAGCCGGAUCGGCAUUCCCUACAGCUGCCAGGGUCACCUGCAGAUAUUUGACAUGUUCAUCGUGGAGAAGUGGCCGAUCGUCCAGGCCUUCGCUCUGGAGGGGAUCGGGGGCGACGGCUUCUUCACCAUGAAGUACGAGUUGAUGGAUGUCAGCGUUGAUUUGUGGAGGACCUACAGCAAAAUGGAUCCUGUUUCCUUGGAAGAUUUGCUCUUUGAGGAUUUAACCAUUUUUGAGCGCCAGUGGACCAACUUCUUUGCUAAUUUUGACACAGAAAUUCCCUUCAUCCUGGAGCUCUCGGAAUCUCAGGCAGGGGAGCCCUUCAGGAGUUAUUUCAGCCACGGCAUGAUCUCCAGCCACAUAACAGAUAACAGCCCCAGCCGGCAGCCCUUUGUCCUGUUUGGCAGCCACUCCACCAAGGAAAACUUGAACUCUGGGAACUUCAAUUUUCCAUCAGAAGGACACCUCGUUCGAAACACUGGCCUGGGUGGGAGCACUGCCAAGCACAUGGUAGUGCAGUGUGUGUCUCCCAAGGGACCUCUGGCUUGUUCAAGGACCUAUUUUUUUGGGACCAGUCACAUUCCUUUCCUGGGAAAUGACAACGAGGUGCACAAGGAAGCUGACCAAGUUGCUCUGUUGUCGCAAAUCUAUUCUGCUGUUGUAGAGGCUGUGCUUGCUGGCAUUGAGUGCUAUGCUAAAACUUCCACUGAAUCCAAGGCAAAGGAGGUGGCAGAGCAGGUGCUCCUGGCUGUGUUGGACACCCUUGGCUUGACCCAGCUCAGAUCUGCUUUACGCUCCAGAAUUGCUUUCCAGAUUCAGGCUGUGAACAAUCAUGGAAGAAUUACCCCGUUAGAUAACGAGGACAGCCUGAGUUUGAUCAAAACGGCGUCCAUGAUGGUGUUUGACAUUCCGGACCUGCUCACGGGAAGAGGAUGUUUGGGAUCUGUUGUGUUUUCAGAGUCCUUCCUGACAUCUCAGAUACAAGUCAAAGAAAAAGAUGGCAGCAUCAAUCCAGAAAGCAGCCACGUUAUCCUGACGGCUGGAAUCCCGAGAUUCACGGCCUGGCUGGUUGAAGACAGUGACGUGAAACUCUCUGAAAAGGCACAGCAGGCGCUGAAGGAAGAGAAAUCUUUCCUGGGCACUUUACUCGCCGGAGGGGAUGGAGUGUACCUUUGUUCCAGCAAUCCCCAGGCCAUGCCUGCAGAAGGUAAACUGCACUUCUUUUCUGAUGGCAUCCUCUUUUCCCAUCCCCACCACGGCAGCAUUUCCAUUUCCAAGAACCACAUGAGUUCCAUCUCCCUCUAUGAUGGGGAUUCGAACAGUGUCGUUGCCGCUCUCUUCGUAGACUUCAAAAGCUCCCUGCUCCCUCACCUCCCCGUGGAAUUCCAUACCCACAACAACUUCUUGAUGAUUGCACUUUUCCCCAAAAGAAAGAUUUAUAAAGCUUUUUACUCACAGGUUUUCUCCUCGUGGCAAAACCAGACGAGCUCAGGAUUAUCUUUAAGGGUUGUCCAGGAAGAAUUCCUGUCUGUGGAACAAAAGAGAAUGCAUUCCAGUGUUCAGAAGCUCUUUAAUGCCUUGUCCUUUCCUUCUGGGGAAAGAUGCAGGGAGCUGAAAUUAUCUGCUGCCCUUCCAGAACUGGAGAGGUUUGUGAGGCAUUUCACCAUCAGCAGCGUCAGCAGCAAGCCAGUGAUGAGGGCACAUCUGCCUGUGUUGUUGCACCAGUCAGAAGCCAUCCCUGAGAGCAAAGCAGAGAGUGAGAAGGUGAUCAUCACCAUCAUCACUGGACUCCCAGGAUGUCGUUCCAGUGAUCUCUGUGCUUUCCUUGUCACCUUUACCAAGGAGUAUGGAAGGUGGAUUGUUUAUAGGCAAACCAUGGACAGUCCUGAGUGUUUCAGUGCCAGCCAUUUCCAGAGGUUCCUGUCCGGGGUCCUGGAGGCUCAGCAGAACCUGGAGGGCCAUCAGUCUGUGUUCUCCAAAAACAACAAGAGGCUCCUGGUGGUCCUGCAGGGGUACUCCGAUGUUAUUGAUGUUGUGCAAGCUCUGCAGACUCACCCUGACCCCGAUGUGAAAUCUUCCUUCCUCAUUGGAGCAGUGAACACCUGUGUGGAGCCCCUGAGCUGCUACAUGGAGCACAGGCUUCUUUUUCCCAAGUUCUUGGACCAGUGUUCCCAAGGCCUGGUGAGCAAUGUGGUUUUCACGAGCCACGCCACAGAGCAGAGACAUCCCCUCCUGGUGCAGCUGCAGAGCCUGAUCCGAGCAGCAAAUCCCAAGGUUUCCUUCAUCCUGGCAGAGAACGGGAUCGUAACGAGGAAUGAGGACAUUGAAUUAAUUCUCUCAGAAAGCAGUUUUUCAAGUCCUCAGAUGAUGAGAGCUCGGUAUUUAAUGUACCCUGGCUGGUAUGAAGGCAGAUACGGGGCUGGGCCCGUGUUCCCCCCCAUGGUGCAGAUCUGCGUGUGGUUCAGCCGCCCCCUGGAGAGGACACGAUUCGUCAGCAAGUGCAAAGCCAUUAAGUCGUUGCUCAAGCCAAGCCCUUUCUCUGGGAACAUUUAUCACAUCAUGGGCAAAGUGAAGUUUUCAGACUCUGAUAAAGUGAUCGAGGUCUGUCACAACACCUCAGCGAAUUCCCUGAGCCUGCUGCCUGUCCCGGAGGGGCCAACUCCUCCUGACUCCAGGAAUGAUCCCAGAGACUGCAGCACCCAACAGGAAUACUUCCUGGUGUUCAUUGGUUGCUCCCUGAAGGAAGAGGAUAUCAAAGAUUGGCUCAGAGAAACAGCAAAACAGAAACCUCAGAGGAAAGCCCUGAAAACCAGAGGAAUGUUGACCCUUCAGGAAAUAAAGAACAUCCACGUGAAGCGUCACUUGGAUCCGCUCCCAGCCGGUUAUUUUUACAACGGCACCCAGUUUGUGAAUUUCUUUGGGGACAAAAUGGAUUAUCAUCCCCUGAUGGACCAAUUCAUGAACGAUUACCUGGAAGAAGCCAACAGGGAGAUCGAGAAGUACAACAGGGAGCUGGAGGAGCAGGAGUACCACGACCUCUUCGAGCAGAAGACAUAAAGCACGUGGGUCCUCGGGCUUUCCAAACCACCCCAAAAUGCUCUUUUGUCCUCGCUGGGUCAUCACUAGAAAUUGUGAGGGAAUUGUCUGGGUUUUUUUUUUGUUUUCCCAGCGCUCUUUUCCAAACUAAGAGGUCGUUCCUGUAAGGUUGGCGUUGAACACGGGAUCUGCUUAGCUGUGUGUGCUGUCAGGUUUGCUUCCACUUCACCUUAAUUCCAGACUGUCCAAAGCAUCACCUGGAAUCUCUGGGGAGUUUAGGGGGAACUUGUUCAAAAGAAGAACGAGAAGAAGAAGAAAAAAAAAGAAGAAGAAGAAAAGAAGCAAAACUUGAUUUAUUUCCUGUGGUUGUUUGGGAAUGUAAUUGUGGAAUUGGGCUUUGUGCAGAGAAAUCAAACUGCUCUGGGUGUCCCUUGGAAUUUGUGGCACAGGAGCAUCAGUGGGCAGUGCUGGAUAUCAGGAUGUGGGAUUGGGGAUGUUCCCAAAGCCAGAAAUGGGGGAACAAUUCAAAAACUUGGAAUCCUUAAACCUACAGCUGUGGGGAUGUUCCCAAAGCGAGAAAUGGGGGAACAGUGGGAAGAGCUCUGGAGAGUCCCCAAUCCCACAGCUGGUGAGGAUGUUCCCAAAGCGAGAGAUGGGGGAACGAGUCAAAAAUUUAGGAUCCCUUAAUCUGCAGCUGUCAGGAUGUUCCCAAAGCCAGAAAUGGGGGAAUAAUUAAAGAAUUUAGAAGAAUAACCAAUCCCACAGCUUUUAGGUUGUUCCCAAAGCGAGAAAUGGGGGAACAAUGGGAAAAACUUAGAAGUGUCAGUGUGUUCCCAAAGCGAGAAAUGGGGGAACACUUACUUGAAGAAGUCCCUAAUCCUGCAGUUUUUAGAUUGUUCCCAAAGCGAGAAAUGGGGAAACAUUUUCAAAUCUCAGAAUUCCCAAUCCCACAGCUGUGGGGUGUUCCCAAAGCGAGAAAUGGGGGAACAAUGGGAAAAAUGCAGAAGAGUCCCUGAUCCCACAGCUUUGAGGUUGUUCCCAAAGCGAGAAAUGGGGCAACAGUUAAAGACUGGGAAUUCCUAAUCCCACAGCUCUCAGGGUGUUCCCAAAACGAGAAAUGGGGGAACACUUAAAAAAUUUCCAUAGAAGAGUCCCUAAACCUGCAGCUGUUGGGCUGUUCCCAAAGCGAGAAAUGGGGGAACAGUGGGAAGAACUCUAGAGAGUCCCCAAUCCGACAACUGUGAGUUGUUCCUAAAGUGAGAAAUGGGAAAACUAAAAAAUGUACAAGAAUUCCUAAUCCCACAGCUGUGGGGAUGUUCCCAAAGCGAGAAAUGGGGGAACAGUGGGAAAAACUCAGAAGAGUCCCCAGUCCCAUAGCUGUGGGGUGUUCCCAGAGUGAGAAAUGAGGGAGCAGUUACUCAGAAGAAUCCCACAGCUUUUAGGUUCUUCCCAAAGCGAGAAACGGGGGAACAAUUCAAAACCUUGGAAUCCUUAAACCUACAGCUGUGGGGAUGUUCCUAAAGCGAGAAAUGGGGGAACAGUGGGAAGAGCUCUGGAGAGUCCCCAGUCCCACAGCUGGUAGGAUGUUCCCAAAGCGAGAGAUGGGGGAACAUUUUAAAACCUCAGAAUUCCCAAUCCCACAGCUGUCAGGGUGUUCCCAAAGCGAGAAAUGGGGGAACAGUGGGAAAACUACAGAAAAGUCCCCAAACCCACAGCUGUGGGGUGUUCCCAAAGCAGGAAAUAGGGGAACAAUGGGAAGAUCUCAGCAGAGCCCCCAAUCCCACAGCUUUUAGGUUGUUCCCAAAAUGAGGAAUGGGGAACAGUGGGAAGAACUCUGAAGAUUCCCCAAUCCCACAGCUGUGGGGUGUUCCCAGAGUGAGAAAUUGGGGAGCACUUAACUCAGAAGAGCCCCCAGUCCCACAGCUGUGGGGUGUUCCCAAAGCAGGGAGUGAGGGAACACUCCAGCCCUGCAUUCCCGAGGGCACAGCCCUCGGAGGUCUCACCCUCUGCACAGUUUGAUCUGCACCCGAAAUUCUGACUUUUCUGAAGGAAAGGGUUUUAUACAUUUCAGGGGGAAAUCAGGGGAGAAAUCCCAAUUUCUUCCCAGUGCUCUUUGUGGGGUUCUAGGAAAUACUCCCUGGCUGUUGCUCAGAUCCCUGAAGGAAUCCUAUUCCAGUCCUCUGAGCAAGGCAAGGGAAGAUCCUUUAGCUGAAAAGGCUUCCUUUUCGUGGAAAACACUGAUUUCCAAAGGUAAAAAAAUAUCAGUAGGGAGGGACUUGUUUGUGGGGCUCUCAGAAGGAUUUGAUCUGAGUCAGCUUUUACGGUUCCUAAAUGCUGCAACAGGAGGGUUGGCAGCUUGGCCUGACUCAGUUUAAUUUUAAGUCAGGCCUUGUAAAUCACUGACUGAAGGUUUGUAAAGCACCUCAGCAGCUCCUUACAGGUAUUAAUUACAGGUAUUAAUUAGUGGGAAUGAGCAGAAUUCAGGUGGGAAGAGCCCAGGAGGGGUUUUUUUGUUUUCAUCUCCCUGCCCCUGAGGGAUAGUUCAGUCCUUUAAUACCAACUGCAGCUCUUAUUUUUUUGGUCAGAUCCGUGUAAGACAGUGAGAAAUGGAAUGAAAAAAUCUCUCAGAGGGUUUAAAACACUUCCCAAGUGUCUGCACGGUCUCAUUCCGUGGUAGGAAAAUGGGAUUUCACCGUCCAACCUAAGGCUGAUCCUGGUUUAUGCCUCGCUUAGGAGAUGGAAUUUUUUUUUUUUUUUACCUUUGGAACAUGAACUGGCUGAAAUUUCAAUAACCUGACAUGCUUUUCAGGUGGUUUCAGCCCUUUUUUGAGGUGGUUUCACCCUGGAAUUCCAGGUGCUGCAGGCUGGGAUGGAGACCUCGCUACGGUUCCAUUCCCGCUUUUCCCUCCCUAGAUUUAAAAAGCUGAUACUGUUUUUAAGUUUUUGUUUUUUUUUUCUUUGCACACCACGAGACUUGAUAUAAACUCCUUGUUGUCCUGUUAGAGGCCAGUAAAAGCCAGCAAUUAGUUCGUGUUUUAGGCUUCCUGGGAUAUUCCCUGGAAUACCACCCAGGGGUGGAGCAUCCUGAGAAGGCUCGUGAGUUUUAUCUAUGCAUGGCUAAACUUUAGUCUUAAUUAUCCUGUAGUGCCUGUAGAGCAAAGGUAGCAAAGCAGUGGAUUUAGGGGGGGUUGGCAGGUGUUCACAGCUCAAAUUCGUGGAGUUAUUUAUUCCAGAACUCCUGGAAGUUGUGGAAUCCUGGCUGCGAUAAAAAAGGGGGCGCCGGGGAAUCGAAAUCAACUUCGCGUCGUCGAUUUAAAAACAGAACCCCGGGCGUGCUCCUUGCCAGCCCCGCUUGUCUCAUCUGCAAAGCCAUAUCUCUAGAGUAGUGGGAUGACUUGUGUAAGGUCAGAGGAAAAAAAUUCCAGAGGCUGGGACACGGGGCAGGCUUUGUCCCAGCUCCUGGGAGCCCAGAGGUAGAUUUUUGAAGUGCAAUUGGUUGAAAAUAGCUGAAGAUGCUGUAGCUGCCGGGGCUCUGCUGAACUCUUUUUAAGAACUCCCAAUUUGUGCAGCUGCUGGGGCUGAGCCAAAGCCCCUGCAAGCAAAAAAAAAAAAAAACAAAUAAGAAAUAAAUGUCAAAAAUUGGGUGUUUUACUGUGCAAAUUGAGCUGUUCCUUAAAAACUGGAGCAGGAGAGCUCGGAAUAAAGGCCUAGUGUCCUUCUCUGCUGUGCUGCAUGUUCAUGGUCAUAGCUGUGUAUUUACAAAAAAAAGACCUUUCACCAGACUGGGAAGAGCUCAAUUCAUGUAUUUUUUGGUAUUGAAAGGAAUUACCUCAAUUUUUACUUUUUAUUUUGUCGAACUGUGACUUUCAACCAGAAUUUAAAACUAAAAAAUACAAAUACAAUACCGAAAUGGUGAAACUGUGACAGUGGAAUCCUUUAAAAACGUUGUAGUGCCUUGGAGUGACCCCAUUUAUUCCCCAAAUAAAUGGGAGUCGGGGUGGGGGGGGUGAAUCCCCCCCCCUCCCCAUUUUUGUUCUUUUUAAAGGAAAAACAGUUUUGGUGAAAGGACUUCAAACUUAACCUAGUGACAAAUAUUAUUAGCACAACUGGUUAAACUGUUGAAAAGAAAACUCUUUGAGGACUGAAAUGUGUCAAUGAAUGCCUGAUGCUGCUGAUAUUCAAGAGCAGCUGCUGAUUGCUUGGGAGUUAUUUCUUAACAAUCAGCAGCGCUUUUGUUUUGGUUUUGUUUUUUUUUUAGAAAAAAAGUGUAACUUUUGUACUCUGGUCAGAGCUGUUUGUACUGUAUCGACCCCCAGCCAAGGGGCAAUCUGAUUCCUCCCUCUUUGGAAGUCGAGGUGAGGGCAGAGCCACUCCCAAGGAUCUAAUUUUGAAUAUUUUUUAGCUACUGUAUAACUAAAACAAACAAACAAACAAACAAACAAAAACGGAACAAAAAACACCUUUGGGACCCACCGAUGUUUGGAUACAGCAAAAGUGCCAUUAACGCUUCCUUUCUCUUGUGACGUAGAUGGAAAAUUUGUGUCCAGGCAUUUUCUGAUCCCGGGGUGGGGGGGAGAAAAAAAAAAAAAAAAAAAAAAGUGCUGAGAGUCCUCAAGGGGUUUCCACGCUUUGCUGAUCUCCACGCCAGCGGCUCGUGGUGCUGUCGGUGUCGUCGUUUUUAUCUCUUUUCUCCUCACCAGGAAUGAGUGCGAUCAGAGGUCACUGAAGUUAUAGGGACAGUAAAAAUAAAUUAUAAAAAAAUAAAUUAAAAAAAAAAAUGUGAGAAACUUAGGAGAGGAAAACCUUUGCAGCUCGAGCUGCUCUGCAGUCGGGGGGGUGUUUGAGAUUAAUCCGUGCAAUUUGGUUAUUUAAUCCGCUAUUUACACUUCGCAUUAACACGACCCGAUUGCAGGCUGGGGCACUAAAGCUGCACGUCCAGUUCCCUCCCUAAGUUGUCGUCUUUGUGUUGUUGUUUUUUUUUUAAUUAUUGUUAUUUUUUAAUCGAAAACUUGUCUGAAUUUGCACAGAUUCAAGCUCUUGGAAUACUUUGGUAUUUUUCUGAAAAGGGAAAAGAAAGAAGAGAAGAAAAAAAAAAAAAGAAACAAAUUGUGGCUAGCGGAGCGAAUUGUAAACUGUGAGUUGGUAGAACCACGUGGCCGAUCUCACCUUAGACGGUUCAAAACGUACCUCAGAAAGCUGCUUGUCCUCCCCCAGCGCUCGGUGUGUAACACUUUGUAACACUUCCCGCCCCACAACGUGCCAAAAGUCACUUUUGUGGUAGUUCUCGAUGCUUUAACGCUCGCAGCUUCCGAGUGAAAAAUGAGAUGAAAUCCAGUUAAACCCCACGUGUUCUUUUACCAACACUGCUGUAACUUCAGUCCAGCUGAACGGUGUGAUUGGAGCUUUUUUUGCCUCUCGUAUUUAUUAUUACACGACUCGAGUCAGUAAAGGGUAAGAUUGACCUUUCCAUUUAUUUUUGUAUCGUUUUACAUGUUUAUACCUUGCGGUUUUGUGCGUGACUUUUACACCUGUUAACUCCGAUGUGAUGGAGAGAACCAAUAAACACAAUCCAUCCA